UGAUCCUGGCUCAGAAUGAACGUUGGCGGCGUGGAUUAGGCAUGCAAGUCGUACGAGAAGAAACCUUAGCUUGCUUUGGUUUCGGACAGUGGCGAAAGGGAGAGUAACGUGUGGUUACAUGCCCUCGAGUUCAGGAUAGCGUUGGGAAACUGGCGGUAAUACUGAAUAAUAUCUUUGGAUCAAAGGUGUGAUUCCGCUCGAGGAUUGGACCGCAUACUAUUAGCUUGUUGGUGAGGUAACGGCUCACCAAGGCUGCGAUGGUUACCGGGUGUGAGAGCAUGGCCCGGCUCACUGGGACUGAGACACUGCCCAGACACCUACGGGUGGCUGCAGUCGAGAAUCUUUGGCAAUGGACGAAAGUCUGACCAAGCGACGCCGCGUGCGGGAUGAAGGCCCUCGGGUUGUAAACCGCUGUCAGUUUGGAGGAAUGGACUGUGAAGAGCAGUUCUUGACCGAUAUUCAGAGGAAGGACGGGCUAAGUUCGUGCCAGCAGCCGCGGUAAGACGAACCGUCCAAACGUUAUUCGGUAUCACUGGGCUUAAAGCGUUCGUAGGCGGCUUGGUAGGUGAGAUGUGAAAGCCCACGGCUCAACCGUGGAAUUGCGUUUCAAACCCCCAAGCUCGAGGAAGAUAGGGGUGAUGGGAACUUAUGGUGGAGCGGUGAAAUGCGUUGAUAUCAUAGGGAACACCGGUGGCGAAGGCGCAUCACUGGAUCUUUUCUGACGCUGAGGAACGAAAGCUAGGGUAGCGAACGGGAUUAGAUACCCCGGUAGU
rnacentral:rRNA from 1 species